rnacentral:rRNA from 1 species
AACGAACGCUGGCGGCGCGCCUAAUACAUGCAAGUCGAGCGAGAAGGUGUAGCAAUACACUUGUAAAGCGGCGAACGGGUGAGGAAUGCAUGGGUAACCUACCCUCGAGUGGGGAAUAACUAGCCGAAAGGUUAGCUAAUACCGCAUACGUUUCCGGAACUUCGGUUUCGGAAAGAAAGCAAUACCGUGGGUAUUGCGCUCCUGGAUGGGCUCAUGUCCUAUCAGCUUGUUGGUGAGGUAACGGCUCACCAAGGCUUCGACGGGUAGCUGGUCUGAGAGGACGAUCAGCCACACUGGCACUGCGACACGGGCCAGACUCCUACGGGAGGCAGCAGUAAGGAAUAUUGCGCAAUGGACGAAAGUCUGACGCAGCGACGCCGCGUGGGGGGAUGAAGGUCUUCGGAUUGUAAACCCCUUUCGGGAGGGAAGAUGGAGUGGGUAACCACUUGGACGGUACCUCCAGAAGCAGCCACGGCUAGCUUCGUGCCAGCAGCCGCGGU